CAACGCCGCGUGGAGGAUGAAGCCCUUCGGGUGGUAAACUCCUUUCGAUCGGGACGAUUAUGACGGUACCGGAAGAAGAAGCACCGGCUAACUCUGUGC
rnacentral:rRNA from 1 species